rnacentral:lncRNA from 1 species
GGGAAAUAUACAAUACAACCUGUAAAACAUUCUUAACAGAAACUUAAACCCGAUUCUUACUACAUUUCUAGAUUUAAUUACUAGUGUAUUGGAAACAUAGGGGACAGAGGACACAUUAAAUAAUACCAUUGGGACACAAGCAACAAAAUCUAGACGAUAGGAAGCUCUGUAAGACAAACGACCCAAUCUCUUUAAUAAAUAAAUUACAAGAAAAAAAAUUAGAGAAGGGGGACCUAUAAACUAAGAGACACCUAUGAGAAGCAUCAAACAAAUGUGCUGUGGGGACUUCUAAGGAUCCUGGCUCAAAUAAAGCAACUGUGUUAAAAAGACAAACAAAAAAGAUAUGUCCUGGAUUAUCAGAUACAUUUGAACACUAAUUGGAUAUUUGAUGAUAUUAAGUAACUAUUAAUAAUAUUUAGAUGUGAUAAUGGUAUUGUGAUUAUGUUUUUAAUUGAGCCAUCUUUGUCAAUAUUUACUACAGUAUUUGCAGAUAAAAUGUUGUUUGGGGUUGGCUUCAAAAUAAGCUAUUGAGCAGAAUGUGGGUAGGAGUAUUAUAGGAAGUAGGAUUGGUUAUGAGUUGACAGUUUUUAAAAUUAUCAUUCAGGCAAAUGAAGGUUCAUUAUAUGCUCUCUAUAAUACACAAAGCAUUGCUUUAGUCUUCUCAAAAUCAAUGUGCUUUUGUUUCUCUGAUAAACGAUUUUUGCAGAACACUGAGGUUUGACGUAUAAGUUACCACAUGGUUACUGCUCUUGUGUUUGCAUAGAUAUGUGCAUAAUUUGAGCAUGAGAAUGGACCCUGAAAAACCUUGUAUCUCCUUCAGUUAGGAUAUGUGUUAGUCCUCAUAUUAUCCCUGAAGCCAGGGGCUGAUUUUUCUUCCUGUCUCGACAGGUCAGUGAACGGCUGAUAUUAUACCAGCAUGUGGACCGUGAGAACACUGGCUGGACUGCAGAAGACUCUUUCACAUUUACGACAUCCUCCCCACCAGCAGCUCUAGGCCCUGAGGAGUUUCGUAUUACUAUUUCAUAUGAAAUUACUGAACCUGGUCGGCAGAGUCGUCUGCUUGCAAAUACAGGAGCUGCUGUCAAGGAGGGAGACAAAGUUCUCAUUGACCAAUCUAAUUUAGAUGCUUCCAACCUCUUACUGAAGUUGCCCAAAUCUCAGCGAUCUUCCUAUGAAAUCUGGUUCCAGGUUACGUCUC